CUUUUUUAGUUUGUUCAGGGUCUGAAGAACUCAAAUAUUUCGUGUUGUCAUCAGCUUCAUCUCUCGUUAUCUCACGGGAUAGGAGUUAAAUAACAGCACUACAUUG
rfam:Lupinus angustifolius cultivar Tanjil chromosome LG07, whole genome shotgun sequence.